rnacentral:rRNA from 1 species
AUUGAACGCUGGCGGCAGGCUUAACACAUGCAAGUCGAGCGAGCGGCGGACGGGUGAGUAAUGUCUGGGAAUCUGCCUGAUGGAGGGGGAUAACUACUGGAAACGGUAGCUAAUACCGCAUACCAUCAGAUGUGCCCAGAUGGGCUUAGCUAGUAGGUGGGGUAAUGGCUCACCUAGCCGACGAUCCCUAGCUGGUCUGAGAGGAUGACCAGCCACACUGGGACUGAGACACGGCCCAGACUCCUACGGGAGGCAGCAGUGGGGAAUAUUGCACAAUGGGCGCAAGCCUGAUGCAGCCAUGCCGCGUGGAUGAAGAAGGCCUUCGGGUUGUAAAGUACUUUCAGUAGGGAGGCGUUACUGACAGAAGAAGCACCGGCUAACUCCGUGCCAGCAGCCGCGGUAAUUC